rnacentral:misc_RNA from 1 species
AAGAAAUUCAUUAUGUGGAAAAGCUAUCAAUUCCUUCUGAGAAUCCUUUCUGUAUCACUAAGCCUAAUGAAGUUUUGGUUAAUAUCCUUGGUAAGAGAUGUGAGGGGCUUGCUUUAGGGCAGAUAUUCUAAUUUGGGGUUGAUACUUGUAUUUUUAAUUUGAAACAAUUACAGUAUAUAUAUCCUAAAUUGCCAUUAAUCAACACUUAUUAAUGAUUGUCAGACCUAAAAAUAAAAUUAAUAUUAGUAAAAUACCCUUAAACCUAGCCUUCCCACCCUCCACUGUCACGACCCACAAACACCUCCCCCUUCUUCUUUCACAAUUCAUUCUGUAAAGAGCCAAUGAAUCCCCUUCCCUUUGCUUCAGUAGCAACCCAAACCGGCAAGCUUUGGUCAUUGUUGUGACAGUGGCAGCAAGGGCUCGACAUGGCAGUGAUUGAGAGACAUUUCCUCCCUUCCUAUACCCCACAAUAAAGGCCACAACAUGGGCAAUGGCUCACUAAAGUGUGCCAUAUGUUUAAACAAGUUUGAAGAUGAUCAAGCGUUGCGUUUAGUUUUCUAAGUGCAGCCAUGUUUUCCACCCUGAUUGCAUUGAUCACUAGCUCGACUUGCACACCACUUGCCAUGUUUAUUGUGCCAAUUUGGUCCCAAGAACGGGCAAAUCUUCCUUCAAUUUCGAUACCAGUCGAUUCACCUCUUUUAAAUGGACAGUAACUCGGUUAAUUUGGCCUAGGAUUAAAACCUUUUCUCUCUAUCUCCCUCUGACUUGUGAUUUGUGGUUAUGAAUUUUGAUUUUAUGUUUCCCUGUGGAUCCAAGUGGUUAUGGUUUGAUUUUCUGUUUCUCUAUGGAUUUUGAUUUUCGGGAAUUUGGAUAUGGUUUGAAAUAGUUACUGCCAUUUCAUUGGCAUUAGAGAGAGAGAGCAAGGAGAGGGAAAGGGCUAGGGGCUCCUCUUUUUUUUUUUUU